CUUAGUUCAGAUAGAGAUGCAGAGCCUCAAAUAACACUGUAGGGAUACAGCUCUGAGAGGGUGAGAUCACUGUGCUGUCCAUGUGACUGUGUUGGAGAAGUGCUGCCUUUGAGCAAGAAGUGCCCACAUUUUAGCAUGGAACGAUUUAGAAGGAAAACGUUGAAACCAAUAGCAACCUGAGGAGCAAGAACAACAAUACUUGAGAAAUAGCAAGCUCAGAGCUCAGAUGGUUUUUGGAAGUUGGAGAUGAGAAAACCAUUUUGACUACAUCAAAAGACAAGGGAGCAUAGUGCUGAGACUUCUAUAAGUGGGCACGAAGCUGGCGCUGUCAUCUUGGGUGAAGCACUGCAAAGUAAGUCUAUUGAUCUGUGUGCUGUGGGAACCCACGAGGCUCAUCCCUCUUCCUCAUUCUUCUGAAAAAAAUCUUGCAGAAGAGAUCUUCCCAGUCAUUCACAUCGCUAAAUCUGCAUGAGUUAAUACUGUACUAUCCGUUACAACCAGUACAAUAGCACUCUCCUACCAAGACUAUCUCAGAGAGCUGCAGCAGCUCCCACCUUUCACUGGGAGUUUCCUAAUAUUUUCUCAUUACUUACUGAUCAGUCCGACUGAUGUCUGCUGAAAUAAUUGAUGCAAGCCAGCCUACAUCUACAUAGCGUGUGGAUGGAACACAUGCUCUGCCACUCUUCCCUGCCUUCAGGGCACGUACCAGCAAUGAAAAUAUGGUGGGCGAAUGUGGUAGCACAGAUUUCGGUCCCAAUCCAGUUGCAGUGAUUUACGGCAGCGUGAUUUUAGUCAGCAGAAGACAUGGGCUGACUGAACCCAUUUUCCCCUGUCAGUUGCCAUGUGGAUCAACCACCUCCCAGACCAAUGAUUUUAGGAACAGCAGAAGUGUCUUUACUAUGGGGAUUGUUGAUCCCCCACGGACCCCAACGUGUGCAGGACUGUCUGCUUCAGCAUCAGCAAGAAAAGAGCAGGACCCUGCAUAUAUUUUAAAAAUAGCUAGAAGAGUACAUCAGACAGACAAGGAAGCACAAGACACACCCAUAUGAUUAUAGUUUGCAUAACAAGCAAUGCACACCAGUGGUGGGGCCACUGUCGAAGGUAUUGUAGGAAACAUAGCAGAAAGGAACUACAGGGUUUUGCUAUUAUGGGUGUGAGCUGACCUGAGUCACACAGCCAAUGUGUUUCCCAGCCUUGCAGCAAGAACAGUGGGGAUGGUUUGUGCUCCUCAUAGAUCCUUUCCCGUGGAAGUCUGCUGGUGGUUUAAUUAAUUGUAAAACACUGUUAAAGAUGAGGAUGUCUUCUGGUGUCUGAGAAAACAAUAAAAUCAAACCAUUUCCCCGUUUAUUGGUCAUCAGGGUUAUCAUAAUUGCUGAAAAGACUAGCUGGUGGGUUGUAUGUAUUGAUUCUCUGCAAAUGUGUGGAAGCGCAGGUCUAGACACUAGCAUAAUAAAUACAGGUACCAGGCUGACAUAGUAUGUUCUUAAGCUAUACAGCAGCUACUGCACGUGCUGUCUGCAGAAAAGAGGAACCAUACAUAUAUUUUAAUCAACAUGCUUGAGAAACAUUUUAUCUCUCAAGGAGAAAAAAACAAAAGCCAAAACCAAACCAAACCAAAACAAAACAAAACAAAAUCAUAGCAAGUAUGGCGAACAUACUAUUAAAAGGAUUUAGUCCCUGUACCACUGUUUCCAUAGAAUAGCAGACAGAUGCAUGUCCUUGUGCAUAAAGAUCCCAACAUAUUCCAACAUGGCAAAGUCUAGAAAAGCUGCCUAAUUACAUAUUUUGCUAUGAAAAUUUCUUCCUUGUGAACCUCUUAACUAAAGGAAAUAGCACAAUAUGACCUCCUGACUAUACCACCCAAACCCUUUGCAAAUUGAAUGUGGCAGGGAGAGGUCCUCGUUCCCACUGUGGAGGUGGGAGCUGGGGUACAGGCAGCUGAAGCUAUGGCAAGAGAAGGGACCGUGAGCCCUGAUGUGGAGGAGAAGCCCUUGCAGCACACUGCUGAGUGUGCAAGAAAUCAGACAGCAAAAACAAUGAACAGGAAAAGAAAUGCAUGCUGGUAUUCAUGUGCAGUGAUAAAGUUUGUGUAGUGAUUAGCUUGGGAAAUACUUUGUAUUUUUAGUUAUUACAUUAUCUGUACCAAUGACCUGUACAAGCAAACCAUGUUAACAGUCCUAAAGUAGAGUCAUAUCGCAUCUGCCCUCCCAGCUACCACAAAUUUUGUAGAAGAAGAAAAAAGCUAAGGACAUCAAGAUGCAUUUUCACUCACGUGGGAAGAAAUACUCUGGCUCAGAUAGUGAGCCAGAGGGCUUCGGUUCUCUCAUCACUGCUCAUACUCCUGGCUAUUUUCUGAAGUAAUCAGAAAUGCUGUUGUACCAUAUUAGCUCCUCAAGACAGAGUCAGCUGCUUUCUAGUUAUAGGAUACGGCUUCUUAUUGGAACAGAGACAAGGGUUUCUCCCAAGCAGCAAAACACCUGAUCUGAUCACUCCUGUUUUAUGCAGAAUCCAAGCAUUUUUACAUAUUAAAGGUCUACCUUCCUUUUAUAUUGAAUAGAUGUUGAUUAAUCACACCAUGCUCAGCAUUGCUGUCAGGAAUUAAAAGCAGAAUUGUGCCCUCUGCUGCUAAUAUUGUAUGGAUACCCUACAUGCUUAUAUUAAUCUCCAGGCCACGUAGCUUCUUUGCAAGUUAAUGUGGCGUGUUUCAAGGAGAAGUGAACGAAAUCAUGAUGUUCACAGAAUUCUCCUGAGAGUUUCCAUAUCAGAUAAUAAAGACCAAUGUCUUGGUCCUGAGGUCAGUGACAGGUAAAUCAUCACAUUCAACAUCCCCUGCUCUUGACCAUGCUGUUUGCCUUCUGCAGAGAGAGAACUGAACUUGCAGAAAUGUCCCAAUAGAUGUCCCUGAGAGUUGGAUCUGAUCCAUAACUGUUUAAACUACACCUGUGAAUUAAAGCUGCUUUACACACAACCUCUAAAAGACACUAAACUGCAGGAAUGCAAAUAGAUGAUGGUGUAUGAUGACUUUAAAUUAUAGUAAAGUGAUCCAUGGAGAGGCGGAAAACUGCUAUAAAGUGAGUACGUGAAUGCAUCAGUAACCUUGAUUUGUGUGCUUGCUGAUGUGCUGCUCCUCCCCAAGGGAAAGAAGGGGAGUGGGAUGCAAAAUGCAGUGACAGACCCAUGGGAUAUAGGCACCUGUACUCAGAUACAUAUAAAUAUGGGUAUAAAUGCCUUUCAUUAAAUCAGUGGUGAUUCUAGACUUGUAUUUAGUUCAAAAGCCCAGUCUCUACAGCUGGCUUAGCUGCCUCCAUGCAAAUCCUCAACUUGAACGGUGCCCACAUUUUCUUCCCUUCCCGUGCAAGGAAGAUACUCCUACACCCAGCAAUCCUUGAAGUGGGCAGAGGAUUUCACAAUCCUGCUGCUGCGUCUUUGCUUUCAGGAUGGCACAGAGAUGAGGAGACACCCAAGGUAGUCUGUGCAGCUAUAGUCAGGCAUCUACUUCUGUGAUAUUUAGUAACUCCAUUGUGCUGCAGACAUUAACAGCAGCAUCUCUGCAAAUAUGAUAUUGUAUGUGCUGCAUUGGUGGCUAACAACAUUCAAGCAGUGAAUUUAUUGAUUAGUUGCUCCCAUUUCAGAGAAAGGUCUCUUGUGGCUUUUCAUCCCACCACCAUGAGUGCAAUAGCUUGUGGAGAGAUUUUGCUAAGACAACUCCCUCCCCUUUACCAAGCAGCUGAGUUAGGGCAAUGACAGGCUGACCUCUAAAUGGAAUUUAUAUCAUCCUCUUCUCCACAUUAGAAAAUGUAAAUAUUCCUCCCUACCUUGUUCUCCCUUUAGGGUAAACCUUGAUUUUCCCUUCAACUCUCACGUGAUGAAUGCAGUAGUGCAUUUGGAAUCUAUUUUAUGCGUAAUAUCCUUACCAUGUUUCAUUCUUCCACCAACAAUCAGCUGAUUUAAAAGACUUAUAGAUAAUGUUUGAGCCUUUUCAAAAAAGCAGUGUAUGCUCCUAAUUUUCUUUAAUAGUCCAUUUUCAUUCAAUUUAUCUAGUUUUUGCCAUUCUCUAUAGACUAAAAGAUUUCAUUUGUUUUCAGGUUUUCUUUGUAAAGAGAAGUUUAUCUGGGGGAGAGGGGCAAUAACAUCAUUUAACUUCAGGCAAUUUGUUUUAAAGAUUUAUUUCUGUUAAAAGAACAAGAGCAAUAAUGUCUUUAAAAUUCUCUGUGUUAUUUGUGCAUCAUUUAAAUGGAGAAAUGUUCACUCUUCUAUUAUGUUAAUGAUUUUUAAAAGGGAGUAAAAAAAAUUUACCUGUAAAAAGCAAUCAAACAUCUCUACUUGCAACAGAAAAGGCAUCAUUAAAAAAAAAAGCAAAAAAGAGACAAGUACAUAUUUAAAUAAAUGAUCCAGUGUGAGGAUACAUGAGAGUGAUUUGUGUCUUGAAGCUCUGCUGUCACUUAGAUUAUGCUUGAUGAACAUUUAAUGAAUGUUCACAGGAAAAACAUCUACUCAUAUUAUUUUAUUUGGGAGUAGGGAAUGCAACAGCCGUUUUUAGGGGACAAAACCUAAUGGAUUUUCUUUCAGCUCAGUAGAUACAUUGAUACUUGUAAAUCCUUUCUAAGUGUGCCACUGUAAUUAUAAAUCUCUUAGCUAUAUUUUUCAUUAGAGAACAUUAAGGUAAAUAUUCUCUCCAAGAGAAGAUAUAUUUGGCAUAGAGGUUUUUAAACCUGACAUUUAAGUACUCACUGCGGUGUUGCAGUUGUUCAAUAACAUCAUUCUUAUUAUUUGUUAUUUAGGGUUUGUACUCCUGGAUGCAUUGUUAAGACCCUUGAUUCACCAAUUACAUGUAGUCAGUUAUUACGUAGCAAAGAAAGUGGAGCCUACGGGAAACCACAUCUUGUCAUUCUCUGACCUAUUCUCAACCGUCCUAAUUCUUUUUCCCCAAAAGCACAAACUACACCCCAUAACCUUAACUAGAAGCACAAACUGCACCCCAUAACCUUAACCAGCACGAAUGCUGCCAUUGCACAAGGGGACAGAAGAGAGUGCUGUUCAGAGCUUUCCUCAGCGCUGGGUCUGUGUCUAACCCACCUCAGCCAUGGGAGGACAGAUCUCUGUUCUGAUUUCCUAGCUGCUGCCCCUGUUGGGCAGUCCAGACCUCAUUUCAGAAGGUGCACCUCUUGUCUUGCAAAAGCAGAUGCUUUCCAUCUUUAUUGCUUGUGUGACAUCCAAAGCCAGAGUGGGGGUGAGCAGUUUAUUGCAAACAUCAAGACUGUGUAGUGAUGUUGUGUGGUACAAAAUCUUUGUCAAGAGCUCUAUUAAGAGCUACAAGACCUAUGCUGGUUAUCUAUAUGCUGGUAAUAAAAUAUUUUGCUUUGUCAUGUUGUUGUGUGUCACACAUUUCACAGAAACAUGCCUUAGGAAUCUUCCAGAAUUAAGUGUAGCAGCACACUAGGGCACUCUUAGCUCUAAGCACACACUCAAAAGCUGUGGGAACCUAUCUGGAGUGAAAUAAUGAAAAAACUCAGAGCUUAUCACAUUCAGUGUCAUAAGAUUGCCUCCAGCAUGAUCUGUGUCUUCAUAAUCAAGGGUGUAUGUAAAUCUAACAACAUGAGCAGAAUAGCCUGUCCUCAAUUAAUCGGGCAUUACACUUAUCAGCUUUGAUCAAGUCACCUUGACACUGACUAAGGUGAGCUGGAGCGUGUGGAUCCUUCACAUCCACCCUGAAAUGCAGCUUUGACAAACUUCAUAAGAAAACACCAGAGCAGAGAAGAUCCUUAACUAACUUUGUCUAACUUUUAAUUUGUCAUUUUUUUUUUUUUAAUACUGCAAUUUUGAUGUGUAGGCCCCUGAGUACUUUACAAGUAAAGCGGUGUAACACUGAUUUGAUAGGUAAAUAAAAUCAGGACAAAAUUGAUCACUAGUGCAGAGAAGUGGUGAUUUACUGAGAGCAGUGGACUGUUCAAAGGAGCACAUCCCCUCCCCUAAUGUGCCAGACAAGGUGCAGAGGCUUUAUGCCCAGCUCUGGGCAAGUGAAUCUUAAAAGAGAAUCAACAAAACACACCUUUUUCGGGUAAAAUCAAAUUGAAUUUUUCUUUUUUUUUUUUUCUUUUGUAGCACAGCACAUGAAUUCUUAACAUUGCCUAGAGAGUUGAAAAGUAAACAAACCAAAAAAUGCCAUUAAGGCUUUUCCUCUCAUCAAGGGAAAAAACUGCAUAAAGUGGGACCCUCUGUCUCCGAUUCACAUGGCAUCGGGCCACUGGGGACAGCCCAGGCAGCUAAGCCUUGUUUUGGAAAAUGUUUUCUUCUCAGCUGUUAAGAAAACACAGAUUUUAUUCUAAACAUUAAAUGAAGCUUUUAAAUGCAACUUGUUUCUUCAUAUUACGACUUGCAGAGUCCCAGAUGGUACCCUGUACAUUUUCAUGUUAUUUAAAAUGCUAAUGUAUUCCAACUUCUUCAGAUGUUGUUUAACACACACACAAGCGUGGCAUACACCUUAAGUGAGAGUGUGAAUAAAGAACAAAAUAACAAAGCUAGAGUCUGGAUAUUUCAUUAAAUGCUGCCACUA